rnacentral:rRNA from 1 species
UCGAGAAUUUUUCUCAAUGGGGGCAACCCUGAAGGAGCGACGCCGCGUGGAGGAUGAAGGCUUUCGGGUUGUAAACUCCUGUCAUUUGAGAACAAGUGUAGCCAAGUAACUACUGGCUACUUGAUAGUAUCAGAAGAGGAAGGGACGGCUAACUCUGUGCCAGCAGCCGCGGUAAUACAGAGGUCCCAAGCGUUGUUCGGAUUCAUUGGGCGUAAAGGGUGCGUAGGUGGCGUCGUAAGUCGGGUGUGAAAUCUCGGGGCUUAACUCCGAAACUGCAUUUGAUACUGCGGUGCUUGAGGACUGGAGAGGAGACUGGAAUUUACGGUGUAGCAGUGAAAUGCGUAGAGAUCGUAAGGAAGACCAGUGGCGAAGGCGGGUCUCUGGACAGUUCCUGACACUGAGGCACGAAGGCCAGGGGAGCAAACG